rnacentral:rRNA from 1 species
CAUUAUCGUUCAAAUGUGAGGGGCGUGCAAGGGCUGUCGCUGACUCAAAAGGUCGUGCACGCCCGGGUGUUGUCCCCUCGCAUAACAAUCCAUCUCACCCUCUGUGCAUCACCGCGUGGGUUCCCUUCUCGGAGGGGGCUCGCGUUUUCACACACAAACCCCCCUUUUAAAAGUGUAGAAUGACCUCAUGUAAUGCGUUAACCCGCAAUCAAUACAACUUUCAACAACGGAUCUCUUGGCUCUCGCAUCGAUGAAGAACGCAGCGAAAUGCGAUACGUAAUGUGAAUUGCAGAAUUCAGUGAAUCAUCGAAUCUUUGAACGCACCUUGCGCCCCUUGGUAUUCCGAGGGGCACACCCGUUUGAGUGUCGUGAAAACCUCAACCUCCUUGGUUUCUUCUGGAGACCGAAGCAGGCUUGGACUUUGGAGGCCUUUGCUGGCACCUCUCUUUUUGAAGGCCAGCUCCUCUUAAACAAAUUAGCAGGGUCCUCUUUGCCGAUCCUCGACGUGUGAUAANAUGUUUCCAUGUCUUGGUUUAUGGCUCUGUCACCUUUUGGGACCUGCUUCUAACCGUCUGGACCUUGCGUUGAGACAAUGUUCGAGCAUGUGCCUCCCUUCUCGGGAAGCUCCCUCGACCCCACGACCCCUUGACCUCAAAUCGGGUGAGACUACCCGCUGAACU